ACUCUGUCCCCCUUGGCUCGCCUCCGCCUCUGCCUCCCUUCCAGUUCCCCACGCCGCCUGCGCCGAGCUCCACCCCGCGAGCGAGCGGCGCCGCCGCCGCCGUCCUGCUGCCUCCGCCGCAUCCUCUCCGUUUGGCGGUCCAGCUCGAGCCGCCGCCAUGUCGCACGUCAGGUCCUCCUCCGAUAGGCACCGGGACAAGGAGAAGGAUAGAAGGGAUACACACAGGAGGGAGGACAAGGAUCACCACAGCAGCGGGAGGAGGGACCGGGACAAGGACAGGGAGAAGGAUAAGGAUGACAGGAGGGAGAAGGACAAGGAUGACAGGAGGGAGAAGGAGAGGGACUCGGAGCGCGGCCGCGGUGGCCGUGACCGUGAUCGAGGCAAGGACCGAGAUAGGGGAGAACCGGAGCGGGACAAGGAGAGGGAGCGGAAGGACAGGGAUAAGGAGAAGAGCCGUAGUAGCAGGGACAAGAGCAAGGAUGAGAGGGAGGAUAAUAAAGAUAGGGAGAAGUCGUCGAGGGGCAAGGACAGGGGAGGAGAUGAUGUUGGGGAUCUGUCUAAGGUUGAUGAUGGGAAUCAGAAGAAGCGAGUCGAUGCUCCGGUGGAGGCUGAGAAGCCCUCUACGGUCGAGCUCAGGGAGCGCAUUUCUAGGUCAAGGGAGGAAAGAUUGAAUGAUAAAAAGCAAGAAGGAAUACUGGAUGAUAAUGAUGAUGCUGAUGAGAUACUAUCAUGGGUGGGUAAGAGUCGUAAACUUGAUGAAAAAAGGGAAGCAGAAAAGGAGAAAGCAUUACGUCGUGCUCGAGCAUUGGAGGAACAGGACAACAUUUUAGCAGAAAAUGAUGAGGACGAUGAUGAUGAGGAGCAACAAGAGGAUAAUCGAGUAGGAGAGCACUUAUCUGGUGUGAAGGUUCUUCAUGGACUUGAUAAAGUUAUGGAAGGUGGUGCAGUUGUCAUGACCCUAAAAGAUCAAAGCAUUCUAGCUGAUGGGGAUAUCAAUCAAGAGGUUGAUAUGCUUGAGAACAUUGAGAUUGGUGAGCAGAAGCAAAGGAACGAAGCUUACAAGGCUGCGAAGAAGAAAGGAACAUAUGAUGACAAGUUUAAUGAUGAUCCGUUCUCAAAGAAGCCUAUACUUUCGCAAUAUGAUGACCCAAUGGAAGACGAGGGAGUGACACUUGAUGAAGGUGGACGUUUCAGUGGUGAAGCAGAAAAAAAGCUGGAAGAGCUCCGCAAAAGAAUUGAAGGCGGGCAUGUGCAGAAAAAGACUGAAGACCUUACUUCUGCUGCAAAGAUGGCAUCAGACUACUACACUCAAGCUGAAAUGCUUCAAUUUAAAAAGCCGAAGAAAAAGAAAUCCCUUAGAAAGAAAGAAAAGCUUGAUCUGGAUGCACUUGAGUCCGAAGCUAUUGCUGCUGGAUUGGGUGUGGGUGAUCUUGGAUCCAGGAAUGAUGCAAAACGGCAAUCUGCUAGGGAGGAAGAGCAAAAGGCUGAUGCUGAAAAGAGAAACUAUGGGUAUCAAGCAGCUAUUGCAAAGGCUGAAGAAGCAUCAAAAGCAUUACGUCAGGAGAAAAAUGUUUCUGGUAAACAAGAUGAACCUGAAAAACUAGUUUUUGGUGACGAUUACGAAGAUUUGCAGAAAUCUCUGGAACAAGCUAGGAAAUUAGCUCUAAAGAAACAGGAAGAGACUGCUGCAUCUGGCCCUCUGGCUGUAGCAGAACUGGCUACUGCAAGAUUAGGUCAAAAAGAUGCAGAUGCUGCAGAAGGAGAGGGACAGCAAAAUAAGGUUGUUAUCACGGAGAUGGAAGAGUUUGUGUGGGGCCUACAGUUGAAUGAAGAGACACGCAAACCAGAAGCUGAAGGUGUGUUUAUGGAUGAAGAUGAUGACAUGAUCUUGACAGAUACUGUAGCAAAAGAUGACAUGAAUGGUCUUGCCGUGGUCAAAGAGGAAACUAACAUUGAAGGCCCUGUGAAGGAUGAAGAGGAAGAAGAGGUAAAACCAGAUGACAUUGUACAUGAAGCUGCAGUUGGCAAGGGUUUGGCUGGUGCUUUGAAGUUUCUGAAGGAGCGAGGGACCCUCAAUGAGGGCACAGAUUGGGGAGGCAGAACCACAGACAAGAAGAAAAGCAAGCUUGCUGGUAUUGAGGAUGGGCCAAAAGAUAUUCGCAUAGAAAGGAUCGAUGAAUUUGGUCGAGUGAUGACACCAAAAGAGGCAUUUCGGGAUCUUUCACACAAAUUCCAUGGCAAGGCACCAGGUAAAAUGAAGCAGGAAAGGCGCCAAAAGAAGUAUCGCGAUGAGUUGAAAACCAAGCGAAUGAUAUCUUCUGACACGCCAUUAAUGUCUGCGGAAAAGAUGAGAGAGGCUCAAGCUCUCAGCAAAACACCAUACCUUGUCUUAAGUGGCAAUGCAAAAUCAGGUCAAACGAGCGAUGCCAGCGGUUUUGCUACAGUGGAGAAAGAGCAUCCUGGGAGUCUGACACCCAUGCUUGGGGCCAAAAAGGUUGAGCACUUUUUGGGUAUCAAACGAAGCGCCCAGGGUGGAGGCUUGCCUCCACCACCUCCAAAGAAGCCUAAGAACUGAACAUGCAUGGAUUUGGUUGAGUGCAAAUCUGUUAGCAUUCUAGUGCCAUCUAUUGCUGUGGUUUGGAGCAGACCUGGAAUGAUAAAACACCGCCAGAAGCUUUGAUGAAGUAGCUCCAAAUGCACUAACAUAGUCAGAACAAUAUAGAAGUGGACUUAAAUGUUGUCUUACCUCCACAUCAGUUGUGUUUAAGCUGGACAUACGAGUUACGAUUGCUGACAAACUUUAUAGUGUCUUUCACUUGUGUUCGUCAAAAAAGCAUAUGUAGGUGGAUUGGAUGGCCAGUGUUGCCCACCACUUUUUGUAGAUAUUUGUGUUGGAGUUACUAAAAGCCUUGUCGCAUUUUUUGAAGAUCUGUACCACAUACCAGUGUGCAAGGUUCAAAUCCACUUGGACACUUUGGUAGGUAUCAGUAACAAUCAAUUUUACCACUUCACCCUUAACCAACUCUUUGUCGAUGGGGUCAAUUGCAUGGU